rnacentral:rRNA from 1 species
GUGGGGAAUCUUGCGCAAUGGGCGAAAGCCUGACGCAGCCAUGCCGCGUGAAUGAUGAAGGUCUUAGGAUUGUAAAAUUCUUUCACCGGGGACGAUAAUGACGGUACCCGGAGAAGAAGCCCCGGCUAACUUCGUGCCAGCAGCCGCGGUAAUACGAAGGGGGCUAGCGUUGCUCGGAAUUACUGGGCGUAAAGGGCGCGUAGGCGGACAGUUUAGUCAGAGGUGAAAGCCCAGGGCUCAACCUUGGAAUUGCCUUUGAUACUGGCUGUCUUGAGUACGGGAGAGGUGAGUGGAACGCCGAGUGUAGAGGUGAAAUUCGUAGAUAUUCGGAAGAACACCAGUGGCGAAGGUGACUCACUGGCCCGUUACUGACGCUGAGGCGCGAAAGCGUGGGGAGCAAACAGGAUUAGAUACCCGAGUAGUCC